UACUGUUAGGGAGAAUGUUUUAGUCGUCUGGAUAAAAUCAGCCACAACAUUCCCUUAAGCCAAAGCCUAAUCCAGAGCAAAGCCCCAACUCUCUUCAAUUGUAUGAAGGCUAAGAGAUAUGAGGAAGGUGCAGGAGAAAAAGUUGAAGCUGGCAGAUGUUGGUUCCUGCGGUUCAAGGAAAGAAGUGGUCUCCAUAACAUAAAUGUGCAAGGCUAGUCAAAUGAAGCAGCGGGAGUGAAGAAGGAACAAAGAAGUCUAUUAACUGGUUGUGAUCAAUUUGUUGUAAAAUACAACCUCCCUGGGACUA